GGAAGUGGGGGGGUGCUUACACAUGCAGUCGAACGAUGAUCAGGAGCUUGCUCCUGUGAUUAGUGGCGAACGGGUGAGUAACACGUGAGUAACCUGCCCCUGACUCUGGGAUAAGCGUUGGAAACGACGUCUAAUACUGGAUACGACUGCCGGCCGCAUGGUCUGGUGGUGGAAAGAUUUUUUGGUUGGGGAUGGACUCGCGGCCUAUCAGCUUGUUGGUGAGGUAAUGGCUCACCAAGGCGACGACGGGUAGCCGGCCUGAGAGGGUGACCGGCCACACUGGGACUGAGACACGGCCCAGACUCCUACGGGAGGCAGCAGUGGGGAAUAUUGCACAAUGGGCGAAAGCCUGAUGCAGCAACGCCGCGUGAGGGAUGACGGCCUUCGGGUUGUAAACCUCUUUUAGUAGGGAAGAAGCGAAAGUGACGGUACCUGCAGAAAAAGCACCGGCUAACUACGUGCCAGCAGCCGCGGUAAUACGUAGGGUGCAAGCGUUGUCCGGAAUUAUUGGGCGUAAAGAGCUCGUAGGCGGUUUGUCGCGUCUGCUGUGAAAUCCCGAGGCUCAACCUCGGGCUUGCAGUGGGUACGGGCAGACUAGAGUGCGGUAGGGGAGAUUGGAAUUCCUGGUGUAGCGGUGGAAUGCGCAGAUAUCAGGAGGAACACCGAUGGCGAAGGCAGAUCUCUGGGCCGUAACUGACGCUGAGGAGCGAAAGCGUGGGGAGCGAACAGGAUUAGAUACCCUGGUAGUCCACGCCGUAAACGUUGGGCGCUAGAUGUAGGGACCUUUCCACGGUUUCUGUGUCGUAGCUAACGCAUUAAGCGCCCCGCCUGGGGAGUACGGCCGCAAGGCUAAAACUCAAAGGAAUUGACGGGGGCCCGCACAAGCGGCGGAGCAUGCGGAUUAAUUCGAUGCAACGCGAAGAACCUUACCAAAGGCUUGACAUACACCCGGAAACGC
rnacentral:rRNA from 1 species